rnacentral:rRNA from 1 species
CCUACGGGAGGCAGCAGUGGGGAAUUUUCCGCAAUGGGCGAAAGCCUGACGGAGCAACGCCGCGUGAGGGAUGAAGGCCUCUGGGCUGUAAACCUCUUUUCUCAAGGAAGAAGACAUGACGGUACUUGAGGAAUAAGCCACGGCUAAUUCCGCGCCAGCAGCCGCGGUAAUACGGGAGUGGCAAGCGUUAUCCGGAAUUAUUGGGCGUAAAGCGUCCGCAGGCGGCCUUGUAAGUCUGUCGUUAAAGCGUGGAGCUCAACUCCAUUUAAGCGAUGGAAACUACAAGGCUGGAGUGUGGUAGGGGCAGAGGGAAUUCCCGGUGUAGCGGUGAAAUGCGUAGAUAUCGGGAAGAACACCAGUGGCGAAGGCGCUCUGCUGGGCCAUAACUGACGCUCAUGGACGAAAGCCAGGGGAGCGAAAGGGAUUAGAUACCCCUGUAGUCCUGGCCGUAAACGAUGAACACUAGGUGUCGGGGGAAUCGACCCCCUCGGUGUCGUAGCCAACGCGUUAAGUGUUCCGCCUGGGGAGUACGCACGCAAGUGUGAAACUCAAAGGAAUUGACGGGGGCCCGCACAAGCGGUGGAGUAUGUGGUUUAAUUCGAUGCAACGCGAAGAACCUUACCAGGGUUUGACAUCCUGCGAAUCCCUUGGAAACGAGGGAGUGCCUUCGGGAGCGCAGAGACAGGUGGUGCAUGGCUGUCGUCAGCUCGUGUCGUGAGAUGUUGGGUUAAGUCCCGCAACGAGCGCAACCCACGUCUUUAGUUGCCAGCAUUCAGUUGGGCACUCUAGAGAGACCGCCGGUGAUAAACCGGAGGAAGGUGUGGAUGACGUCAAGUCAUCAUGCCCCUUACAUCCUGGGCUACACACGUACUACAAUGCUACGGACAAAGGGCAGCAAGCUCGCGAGAGUAAGCAAAUCCCAUAAACCGUGGCUCAGUUCAGAUCGUAGGCUGCAACUCGCCUACGUGAAGGAGGAAUCGCCAGUAAUCGCAGUCAGCAUACUGGCGGUGAUACGUUCCCGGGCCUUGUACACACGCCCGUCACACCAUGGAGUGGCAUGCCGAAGUCGUUACUCACCCUUGUGAGAGACGCCGAGGUGGGGCUGAUGACUGGGGUGAGGUCGUAACAGGUACCGUUACCGGAAGGUGCCGCUUGAUCACCUCCUUAACCAGGGAGAAACAAAACUUGAUCCGUGAAGUC